rnacentral:rRNA from 1 species
AGAACGAACGCUGGCGGCAUGCCUAAUACAUGCAAGUCGAACGAGCACUUCGGUGUUAGUGGCGCACGGGUGCGUAACGCGUGGGAAUCUGCCCUUGGGUUCGGAAUAACAGUUGGAAACGACUGCUAAUACCGGAUGAUGACGAAAGUCCAAAGAUUUAUCGCCAAGGGAUGAGCCCGCGUAGGAUUAGCUAGUUGGUGAGGUAAAGGCUCACCAAGGCGACGAUCCUUAGCUGGUCUGAGAGGAUGAUCAGCCACACUGGGACUGAGACACGGCCCAGACUCCUACGGGAGGCAGCAGUAGGGAAUAUUGGACAAUGGGCGAAAGCCUGAUCCAGCAAUGCCGCGUGAGUGAUGAAGGCCUUAGGGUUGUAAAGCUCUUUUACCCGAGAUGAUAAUGACAGUAUCGGAGAAUAAGCCCCGGAUAACUCCGCGCCAGCAGCCGC